GACGAACGCUGGCGGCGUGCUUAACACAUGCAAGUCGAACGGAAAGGCCCUGCUUUUGUGGGGUGCUCGAGUGGCGAACGGGUGAGUAACACGUGAGUAACCUGCCCUUGACUUUGGGAUAACUUCAGGAAACUGGGGCUAAUACCGGAUAGGAGCUCCUGCUGCAUGGUGGGGGUUGGAAAGUUUCGGCGGUUGGGGAUGGACUCGCGGCUUAUCAGCUUGUUGGUGGGGUAGUGGCUUACCAAGGCUUUGACGGGUAGCCGGCCUGAGAGGGUGACCGGCCACAUUGGGACUGAGAUACGGCCCAGACUCCUACGGGAGGCAGCAGUGGGGAAUAUUGCACAAUGGGCGGAAGCCUGAUGCAGCAACGCCGCGUGCGGGAUGACGGCCUUCGGGUUGUAAACCGCUUUCGCCUGUGACGAAGCGUGAGUGACGGUAAUGGGUAAAGAAGCACCGGCUAACUACGUGCCAGCAGCCGCGGUGAUACGUAGGGUGCGAGCGUUGUCCGGAUUUAUUGGGCGUAAAGGGCUCGUAGGUGGUUGAUCGCGUCGGAAGUGUAAUCUUGGGGCUUAACCCUGAGCGUGCUUUCGAUACGGGUUGACUUGAGGAAGGUAGGGGAGAAUGGAAUUCCUGGUGGAGCGGUGGAAUGCGCAGAUAUCAGGAGGAACACCAGUGGCGAAGGCGGUUCUCUGGGCCUUUCCUGACGCUGAGGAGCGAAAGCGUGGGGAGCGAACGGGCUUAGAUACCCUGGUAGUCCACGCUGUAAACGGUGGGUACUAGGUGUGGGGUCCAUUCCACGGGUUCCGUGCCGUAGCUAACGCUUUAAGUACCCCGCCUGGGGAGUACGGCCGCAAGGCUAAAACUCAAAGGAAUUGACGGGGCCCCGCACAAGCGGCGGAGCAUGCGGAUUAAUUCGAUGCAACGCGUAGAACCUUACCUGGGUUUGACAUGGAUCGGGAGCGCUCAGAGAUGGGUGUGCCUCUUUUGGGGUCGGUUCACAGGUGGUGCAUGGCUGUCGUCAGCUCGUGUCGUGAGAUGUUGGGUUAAGUCCCGCAACGAGCGCAACCCUUGUUCACUGUUGCCAGCACGUUAUGGUGGGGACUCAGUGGAGACCGCCGGGGUCAACUCGGAGGAAGGUGGGGAUGACGUCAAGUCAUCAUGCCCCUUAUGUCCAGGGCUUCACGCAUGCUACAAUGGCUGGUACAGAGAGUGGCGAGCCUGUGAGGGUGAGCGAAUCUCGGAAAGCCGGUCUCAGUUCGGAUUGGGGUCUGCAACUCGACCUCAUGAAGUCGGAGUCGCUAGUAAUCGCAGAUCAGCAACGCUGCGGUGAAUACGUUCCCGGG
rnacentral:rRNA from 1 species